AUCACGGGUGUUAUUACGGGUAUUAUUACGGGUGUUAUUGCAGGUGAUUUUGCAGGUGUUAUUACAGGUGUUAUUACGGGUGUUAUUACAGGUGUUUUUUCAGGUGUUAUUACAGGUGUUAUUACGGGUGUUAUUAGAGGUGUUUUUGCAGGUGUUAUUACAGGUGUUAUAAUGGUGUUAUCGCGGGUGUUAUUGCAGGUGUUAUUACGGGUGUUAUUGCAGGUAUUAUUAAUGGUGUUAUUACGGGUGUUAUUACGGUGUUAUAAUGGUGUUAUUACAGGUGUUAUUACGGGUGUUAUUACAGGUGUUAUUGCAGGUGUUAUUACAGGUGUUAUAAUGG
ensembl:lncRNA